AUUAUCCGGCUUCAGCGCUCCGUGCGUCCGGCCCAGGUAACAACUUCCCCAAAAACCGAAAGAGAAAAGCGCGAGGCGCACGCACACCGGCCCAUCCCGGCGCAGAGACCUCGUCUGCCCCGGGAGGGGGAUCUGUCUGUGGUGCUUCCCGGUCUCUAAGCCCAGGGACGCCUGGUUUCCCCCCAAGCGAACCGGGAUGGGAAGUGACUUCAAUGAGAUUGAACUUCAGCUGGAUUGAAAGAGAGGCUAGAAGUUCCGCUUGCCAGCAGCCUCCUUAGUAGAGCGGAAUGAGUAAUACCCACACGGUGCUUGUCUCACUUCCCCAUCCGCACCCGGCCCUCACCUGCUGUCACCUCGGCCUCCCACACCCGGUCCGCGCUCCCCGCCCUCUUCCUCGCGUAGAACCGUGGGAUCCUAGGUGGCAGGACUCAGAGCUAAGGUAUCCACAGGCCAUGAAUUCCUUCCUAAAUGAGCGG
rnacentral:lncRNA from 1 species